GACGAACGCUGGCGGCGUGCCUAAUACAUGCAAGUAGGACGCAGUUGCGAACGGGUGAGUAACGCGUAGGUAACUACCUAUUAGAGGGGGAUAACUAUUGGAAACGAUAGCUAAUACCGCAUACUAGUAGAUGGACCUGCGUUGUAUUAGCUAGUAGGUAGGGUAAAGGCCUACCUAGGCAAAGAUACAUAGCCGACCUUGAUAGGUGGUCCGCCAAACUUGGACUGAGGCACGGCCCAGAACUCGUCCGGAGGCAGCCGUAGGGAAACUUCGGCAAUGGGGGGAACCCUGACCGAGCAACGCCGCGGGAGUGAAGAAGGUUUUCGGAUCGUAAAGCUCUGUUGUUAAGGAAGCGGUACUUAACCAGAAAGGGACGGCUAACUACGUGCCAGCAGCCGCGGUAAUAC
rnacentral:rRNA from 1 species